UCGGCCCAAGUCCCUCAAGCCCAAACCUCUAAGCCCAACCCAAGCCCAACAACCCCAAACUAAGCCCUAGCCCAACACUCCCAUUUAUCCUCCCCCUCUCUUAAUCACACACACACACAUCUGAAACACACGCACACACUCACACAUUGGCGCACGCACACACCAGAGAUUGGUGCGGUGCCGCCCUCUUCUCCGGCGAAGAGUUAUCGCCGGCCACCCAUCUCACUCGACCUAACCAAAUCGUGCCGCCACGAUUCCUCUCUGGAACCCCGGCGAGUCAGCAGCGAGAAGCUACUGCCGGUCCGCCCCUCUCCCUCGAAUCUCCGGCCUCUCUCUCUCUCCAGCCGUGGCCGGGCAGCAGCGGCCGCGCCCUCCUUUUCCGGAUCCGGCGCCACCACUGCCCUGCCUCUCUUUCUCCUUUGGCCGACAGCAGCAGCCGUGGUGCUUCUGCCGCCGCGUCGCCACCGGAAAUAGAACAGGGACUGAGCGCCGCCUGCCGCCGCGCCGUUGCCGGCCGUGAGCAGCCGCCUCCUGUUCCUACCCGACACCUACAAUGACCAGCCGCCCCCAUCAAACUCCCAGCGACAAACGACGAGGUUGCUGCCGACAGCAACAACCAGCCGCACCGCCGUGGAAGCUCGCCGGGGAGCAGCGACAGCCGCUGACGACACUCGGUUCUCCCUCCUCAGAUCGACGGCAGCAAGGCCGCCGGCCGUCACCCCUCUUCGGUCUCCAGCGAGCAAAACAGACGGCCACCACCGCCGUCCGCCGACUCCUUCUCCACUCUUCACCGUGGCUAGGCAGCAACGGCAGAGCCGCAGCGCCUAGCCUCCCUCUCGACUCCAUUUUUCAAAAAUACAUCAAAAUUGGCAUGCUUCAUAUAUGUAUCUAUAUGCACAUAAAUUGUAUGUCUGAACACUUGGUGAUUUUAAGAAAUUGUUGUUCUUUAUGAAUGUGUAUACAUAUGCACCGAAAUGAUGAGAUGAAAGUAUGUGAA